GUAUCACUUGCUGGAGAAGCAGGGCACGUGCGAACAAAUGAGUUUGAGCAGUACAUUUUGAUCAAAUAUUCGCACGUGUUCUACUACUCCAACACGUGUAUCUCCCCUUC